rnacentral:rRNA from 1 species
UUCUCGAAUUUUAAAGAGUUAUGUAUUUUAUUGUUAUAAAUAUAUAUAAUAUGAAAUGAAACGUUAAUAUAUCUAGUUUUUUCAGAAAAUUUAAUUUUAUUAUAUCUUAGGGGAUGAGCUUUAAGUAUGAUUAGAAGUUUUGUUAUAAUUGAUUUAUGAAAAUUUAAUAUAAAAUUAUAUUAGAAAUAAUGAUUAAAUUAGUAUAAGCUUAGAUUAAGGAAUUCGGCAAAUAUUUUUUACCUGUUUAUUAAAAACAUGGCCUUUUGACAAUAAUUUAAGGUCUGACCUGCCCACUGAGGCCGCGGUAUCUUGACCGUGCAAAGGUAGCAUAAUCAUUAGUUUUUUAAUUGAAAGCUGGAAUGAAUGGUUUAAUAAAAAAAUAACUGUCUCUGUUUAAUAAAAUUUUAUUUUUAGGUUAAAAAGCCUAAAUACUUUAAAAAGACGAGAAGACCCUAUAGAGUUUAAUUUUGAUUGGGGCGAUUGAGAAAUUUGAUUAACUUUUGAUUAUAAGAUUAAAUUACCUUAGGGAUAACAGCGUAAUUUUCCUAAAAGUUCAAAUUGAAAGGGAAGCUUGCGACCUCGAUGUUGGAUUAAAAUUUGUGUUGGUGAAGAAGCU